UAACCAUUCCUUCCAAACGCAAGCCAAACACACAAUUUAUUUAGGGUUUUGACUCAACAGCCUUUAAUUUCUAAGGCUAUUUCAGCACCAGUACACCAUUAAAUUUGGUGAGGUGUAUGGAAACAGCCUUUAUUUCAAUUGAAAUCAACACUUCAAAGACCAUUUUCAUUUGUGAAUCCGCAUUUCUAUCCCCGAUUUCAACGGAGAAGCAAAGGGAUCUCAUCAAUGCAUUUAGUAAAGGAUCAUCCUUACGGAGGAGCGGGGAGAGGCAUGCUUGAACGAAGCCGUGCGAGGAAUCUGCUCGUGAGACCUGACCCCAUGGCACUGCUCUGGCAUGUUCUAGAAGCUUCUGGUGCUUGGCUGCUGGGAUUCCCUUUGAAUUUGGGCUAUUCGGGCUAGGGAUUUUAGAAUUUGAGUUGAAAUUGCAUUUGGGCUGGUAAAAUUUGUAAAAGGACAUUGGUAUUUGGAUUUUCUUGUUUGUGUGUUUUUUUA